GCAGAGUUGCCUGGGAAAGUCUCCUGAACAACGACAAGGCCCAGGACGUGCCCCAGGCCAAUGGCAGCAGAACCCCCGGGGGUGUAGUGGGCAGAGAAUGGGGACUUCAGCCCCAAGAACUCAGUCGUGCCACUUGAGUGCUCUUGAGCUUCCUCGAUGCUAAAAUAGGAACACUCCCAUCUGGUGAGAAUAAACUCCUGAGAAAGAGCGUUGGGACACUCUGGACAGAGGUACAGGAAUAUUGCUUAAAGAUACUUAAAAAUUGUUUCAGGAGGGAAAACUGCAAGGGAGACAUAGAGGCUGUGGCAGCUACCCCAGCAGCAAGGAGGGCGGGCUGAUUCCGCCAGGAGAGAUACAAUAAGCCGAUUGUAGAUUCAGACCGCUUAUUACUCAUAUAGAGUGUGAAAGAGUAACCCAGGUCCCUCACACCAGAAAGAAUGACAAAAGGGGCCAGUUGACCACAAUGCAGGUGCUGGAAAGCCUGUAGCCAGAGAAGCAGUUCUAGACUGCUGGGAGGGGGCAGGGUCUGCAGCUCUGCUCUGAGCAGGGGGAGCAGGAAGCUCCUUCCUCAUGAGACACUGACUCACCAGUGCCUCCCAGGGGAGAAAGUGAGGUCAGCGGAGAUGGUUUCAGGGUCUCACGGGCCACCAUCCUCUGGGGUUCUGGGAGGAUCACAGGGCACUUUGCCAAGACUCAGAUCAGCUUUGCCUGAGGGACCUGAGGGACCUGGCCGAGGUGCUCCCCCACACUGGGAAGCAAAAAGGUACAGUUAUGCAUGAGGAUGAACACGGGGAAGCGAACUGAUGGAGGGAAAGCAGAGAAGCUUUUCAGGCUUGAGUCAUGCUAUAGGAAAUAUUCCUAUUUGAUGAGGCUUUUUUUUUUUUUUUUUUAGUGUGGGGAGAUGGACUUGCUUCCUGGGGAGAGAGCGUCUACGCCUUACAUCACGCCUGGCCUGACCAUGGCCUGUUCGCAGACAGCUAGCUUGAGGGCCCACCGAGGCUUCUGGGACCUCGGUGGGACUGUUCCCUAGGGUGGUCCAGGGCUGCGGGGAGAGCCCCUCUCACUCUGCUCCAGUGGAGCGGCUACAGCGAAGUAACAGGCCAGCCUUUUGUCCUUCUCAGGGAGUUCCCCAAGUCACUGGAGCCUCAGGACAGCCCUGCAGCAGGCAGCAGAGGGGUUUUUCUUGCUGGACUGCCGAAACUAGUCUCAGGGAGAAGUAACACAGAGGUAGAAAGUGGCAGAGCUGGGAAUAGAACUCAGGCACCUCGAUGCCACAUCCUGUGUGUCUGGUUUGUCACUGCAUUUACGGGCUUGAGCUAGAGAGGAUGCUGAGGGGAAAAGGGCCUGCAGAAGGUGUCAUGGGGGAGGGUUUGGGUUCCAGAAGACCACACCGGGGGAGGCAGCAGAAAGUUACCCAGCCUGCCUUCCCCCCGGGGGACAUUCUGGGCCGUGGGGUCCUAUUUUUGCCCAGUUGAGCUGCCGCUGGGGCUGCCGUCAGGUGGGCCCCAGGGCUGAGGCCGAAUAACAGAGGUCUUCUCUCACACCCUGUGGCUUUGUUGAGCCUGUCCUGACUAUCCACUCCCUUAGCUUCUCUUCCUGCCACUCCCCAACCCCCUGGCUCUGGCCUGGGGAGACAGGAGGGCAAAUAAUGGCAACGUGGAAACCUUAAGGAAGCAUCUGAGCUCCUGGUCCUGGGGGAAGUGGGGGUGGGGUGCAGGUUGAAGGGGGUACACGGGAGUGGAAGAACCCUCAAAGACCAAGGGCCAAAUCUUCUGGGAGCCUUGUCCAGCAUCCGGACGCUCGGACAUCCGGAAGCUCGAUGUGUACGGCAGAGACCCCUCCUGGAGAGAGAUGUAAUUACAACACAGUUCUGGGCGGGUGCGCAUACACGGCCUUCACGUGGUCAGUGCUGGGGUGGGAACCCAGGCUUUGGGGUCAGAUCCACUGGAUUUGGGUCUUACAUGGAAUCAUCAUGUAAUAGCCGAGAUUCUGGGCAAGUUAUUUGAAGCUCUCCGAGCCUGUUAAACAGAGUAGGUGCAAAACCUCUGCCACCUACUUCAUAGGGUGGUUCUGGGAAUCAAAUGAUGCUAUGCGGCAGGGCCUCGUAAAGCCCGAAGCUCUCGAAUAGCUGUGGGCAGAUUCUGCCUCUGUUUCUCCUUGUGUGUACUCAGGAUGAUUCAGGGUCUUGGCACCAAUGCCUUGUGCCUUCUGCCCUGUGAAGGGAGGGCCCAGGGCAGUUCUGCAGUCCUCGGUUGGUUCAUUUUGUGCCCACAGAGCAGCUGGCCCGGCCCCGUGUCACACUGAGCUCCAGGAUCGGUGAGAGUGGACACUGUAUCUUCAUCCUGACAUGUGAGGCCGAAAGCAGAGGAGGCUCUGUGACCUACAGCUGCCUACCUCUGGGACCCCGGACUGUUGUGUCCCGUGGAGGGUCUGUCCUCAGUGUCUCCUCAAGGCUCAGGGACAGGGCUCUGACCUUCACCUGCGUGGUCAAGAACCCAGUCAGUAACAGCAGCUCCCUCCCCCUCUCAGUGCCGUCCUCGUGUCCACGUACCCGGAACCUGAGCACGCACCAUGCACUGCGGCUCUGAGGGCCAGGAAUCCUGGGAGGGGACACGGUGGGGGAGACAGUGACCGGUCUCCUCGGGGACUUGGCCAUUCUGCCCCUGGAGGUCCCGGCUGGGCAGGAAGUGGAAAAGGUCACCUGGAGCUCUGGAGAGCUUGUUGCCAUUAUGCAAGUGGGGCCAGGAGGCCAACGGGUCCUGGCUGCCGGACUCAGGCACCAUACAGCAGACGGUGGAGUGCGCUCCACCGCGGCUACUCUCUUCAGAUCAGGCCCCUGAGGCUGCAGGACUCUGGCCUCUACAGAGCCUGGAUCACCCUGCCUGCAUAGUCCCCGGAUCAACAUCACCAAGGAUUUCACCCUGCGCGUUUACGAGAAGCUGCAGGAGCCCAAUAUCACUGUCAGCUCCCAGAUCACGAAGGAUGGGGCCUGUUACAUCACCCUGAUCUGCUCCCUGCGACAGGCCGGAGAGGAUGUUCAGUACAGAUGGGCACCCCUUGGCCAGGGGGCAGUUAUGUCCCAUGGGGGAACCACUCUCCGUGUCUCCUGGAGACUCGGGGUCAGCGACAGCUAUCGCUGCACGGCCAGCAACCCGGUCAGCCAGAGCUCCAGCUCCAUCCCCACCAGGCCCCUCUGCUCAGGUGACCCCUUCCUUGUGUGGGCCCCCGCCCUGGCAGCCUUGGUCCAGGAGCUCAGCAUCCCCAUCUGCCGCCCUCCUUGUUCUGGGGUGGUGGAAGAAAAAGAGGGUAGGAUCGUCUGCAGCAGGGGGUGUCUCUGGGGGGCAGGAAAUGAGGGCUCUGGGGCCAUCCUCCCAGGGCGGCGCUGUCCAGCUUCCGACGGUCAGCCCCAGACUUGGUGCCUGGGCGCUCGGCUUACUCUUGGGACUCCCCGAGGGAAAGUGCGUCCCUCAGCCCACUCAGUCCUGCAGAGCCCACUGAGGAGGCAUCCCAGACGUCCUUGGCCAUGUCCUCAGCGAAGCCUGGAGCUGCCGUGAGACAGAAAUCCCAGGCUGUGCCCCUCCAGCGUCACGGGCGGCCUCUCCCGGGUUCCAUAGGCCUUGGCAGGACACCGCCUCAGUCCAGACUCACUGUGUCCCUUUCUUCUUCUCUGCCAACUUCUGAACAUCUCUCCUCUCCCAACCAACCAAGGUAAGGUUGGUUCCUUACCAACCACUUGCUCUUCGACCCUGUGUGGUUGCUCUGCCCCCAGCAGCCGCAUCCUCAUUGCUAAGUCCAGGGGCUACUCCUCACUUGAGUUGUCCUCAGCCUGCUCUCCUUGGGGUCCUGGGCUGCUGGGUCCCGGGGCGUCUUCUUUUGUAUCACAGUCCUUAGGGGUCCUGCCCAGGCCUUCUGUUGCCCGGGGCAGAAAGCUGGGCGUCAUUCAGAGCCCUCGUUUUCCACUGCUACCUGCCCAGGUGCUCACACCUCCCGGUUAUCCCACUCUCUCCCCUCCAGAUCAUCCUGCUGAUCACGCUGCUAGGGGGUGAGUUCUGAAAGAAAGAAAUGCUCGGGUUACUUUUCUGCUUAAAAUCUUGUGGUGUCUGCCCGCUAUCAAGCAUAUAAAUAUGUGAUCCCCUCUUCAUUCAUUUAAGCAAUUCCUGUUUACAGAGCAUUUAUUAUUAUUAUUGUUAUUUUAAUUGAAAUAUACUUAACAUAUAAUAUUAGUUCCAGGUGUAUAACAUAGUGAUUCAACAUUUAUAUACAUCACGAAAUGCUCACCAUGAUACGUGCAGUCACCAUCUGUCUCAUGCAUAGUUAUUACAAUAUCAUUGACUGUAUUUCCUAUGCUGUACUUUUCAUCCCCAUGGCUUAUUUAUUUCAUUCCUUAAAAGAGCACUUUAUAACCUUACAGAGAGAGCGCAUGCCUGUGUGCAAGUGGGGGGUGGGAGGAGCAGAGAGAGACGGAGAGAAAAUCUUAAGCAGGCUCCACGAUCAGUGUGGAGCCCAGUGUGGGGCUUGAUCCCCUGACCCUGAGAUCAUGACCUGAGCCAAAAUCAAGAGUCAGAUGCUUAACUGACUGAACCACCCAGGCACCCCUUACAGAGCAUUUUUUUUUAAAGAUUUUAUUUAUUUGUCAGAGAGAGAGAGAGAGAGCGCACAGGUGGGGGAAAGGGGGAGAGGAAGAAGCAGACUCCCCAUUGAGCAGGGAGCCCGAUGUGGGGCUUGAUCCUGGGAUCAUGACCUGAGCUCAAGGCAGACGCUUAACUGACUGAGCCACCCAGGUGCCCCCAGAGCAUUUUUAAAAGAAGAUUUUAUUUGUAAGUCAUCUCUAUGCCCAACGUGGCACUUGAACCCACAACCCUGAGAUCAAGAGUUGCAUGUUCCACCAACUGAGGCAGCCAGGUGCCCCCAGAGCAUUUUUAAGGUGCCUUGUGUUGUUCUAGGCAUUGAGGAUAGAGUGAAGAAGAGGUCUGGAUAAAUUGCCACCCCUCAGGGAGCUCAGUCACGAUUGUCACAAUCUGCAGCUAAGCCUACUAAAUGAUUAGAGGGGGUACUGCGCAUGUUGUAUUAGGGCCUUCAUCUGUGUCUGUCUUACCCAUGGAACGAGACCAAAGCCCAUUUUCGUCUUCUCGGCAUCUCCACUACACAGCAUGGAAUAGGCAUGAAAAUUGGGAAUCUGACAGUUAUUCCAGGAACAGCCUGUGCUGGGGGUAACAGGGCACAAGGAAACAUGGUAACUGGCUGCGCACACUAAUGUUCUCCCUGCCCCUCCAUGGGAUCCAGAGGGCAGUUCACCUCUACCUCCAGAUUCAGUUUCCUUAAGGGGCCUCUAGCCCACUCACUCUUCUGAAUUCUCUUCUUGGAAAUCCCUUUCCCUGCCUGCCUGUCUUCCCUUUCUUCUCUUCCCCGCCUUUUACCCCAGUUCCUAACCUGUGGUCAUUGUUUCAUUCAGCCUCCUUCCUACCCUGCUCCUUGAAGAAAGAAUUUCUUAUUUUUUCGAUCCUGGGAGCUUUGCAGAUUGAACAGAUUGACUUUGACAAGUGGAGAAGCCAAGAGGAGGAAUGUGAGAGGGGUCACCUUGUGGGACACAGAGAUGAAGAAUUCUGUACCUGGGCACCACCUGCCAACAUCUCCUGGUGAGAAAGGGACAUCAAUCCCUAUUAAGGCAUAAAACCUAUUUUGGCGUGAGCCAAGCUACUCAUGCUGUUUGACAAAGUCCAAGUAUGGGGGACGAUCCUGAAAACAGGAGACUCCACAGCUGGCUCCUGCUAUUCUCUUUCAUUUUGUUUAUGGCAAUCUUUAUAAUUGUGGGAAUAUUUCUGGGGUUUCAUGAUAAAGUGACUACUCAUCUUAGUUACGCCUAUCUAAGCAAUCAUAAUGAAACUAAUUCCAUGAAGAAUUAGUUUCUAUAGAACAAAAUAACAAGACGGUCGCGCUCUGUCUAUCACCUUUCUCUUUGCGUACUGUUUUUUAGCUUUAGCGAAAGCCAAUAAGCGGAAAUCGAUAAAGGUCAUGUUAAUCAUUACAAAGGAAAAAUGAAAGAAGGCUAUGUCUGUGAUCCAAAAAAUGAUCUAAGAUCAUCUCAAUCAAUUGUAAAAAAACCAUAAUCGCAUGUUACGAAAGUAUGGAGAAACAAAAAUAUCCUAACAUAUAAAUAAAGUUCCUCUGAGGCUGUCAGGAGGAGAUGCU